rnacentral:rRNA from 1 species
CUGGCUCAGGAUGAACGCUAGCGGCAGGCUUAAUACAUGCAAGUCGUGGGGCAGCAUGAGUGUAGCAAUACAUUUGAUGGCGACCGGCAAACGGGUGCGGAACACGUACUGAACCUUCCUUUAAGUGGGGAAUAGCCCAGAGAAAUUUGGAUUAAUACCCCGUAAUAUAUAGAAGUGGCAUCACUUUUAUAUUAAAGCUCCGGCGCUUAAAGAUGGCAGUGCGGCUGAUUAGGUAGUUGGCGGGGUAACGGCCCACCAAGCCGACGAUCAGUAACUGGUGUGAGAGCACGACCAGUCACACGGGCACUGAGACACGGGCCCGACUCCUACGGGAGGCAGCAGUAAGGAAUAUUGGUCAAUGGACGCAAGUCUGAACCAGCCAUGCCGCGUGGAGGAUGAAGGUCCUCUGGAUUGUAAACUUCUUUUAUCUGGGAAGAAACCCAUCUUUUCUUGGAUGGUUGACGGUACCAGAUGAAUAAGCACCGGCUAACUCCGUGCCAGCAGCCGCGGUAAUACGGAGGGUGCAAGCGUUAUCCGGAUUCACUGGGUUUAAAGGGUGCGUAGGUGGGCAGGUAAGUCAGCGGUGAAAUCUCCGGGCUUAACCCGGAAACUGCCAUUGAUACUAUCUGUCUUGAAUACCCUGGAGGUGAGCGGAAUAUGUCAUGUAGCGGUGAAAUGCUUAGAUAUGACAUAGAACACCCAUUGCGAAGGCAGCUCACUACGGGAAUAUUGACACUGAGGCACGAAAGCGUGGGGAUCAAACAGGAUUAGAUACCCUGGUAGUCCACGCCCUAAACGAUGGAUACUCGACAUCAGCGAUAAACUGUUGGUGUCUGAGCGAAAGCAUUAAGUAUCCCACCUGGGAAGU